CGGGGGAUGGCUCAGUUUGGCUUAGAGCGCGACGUUCGGGACGUCGAGGCCGUGGGUUCAAAUCCCACUCUCCCGA
rnacentral:tRNA from 2 species